GUAGGUGAACCUGCGGAAGGAUCAUUACCGAGUUCAUGCCCUCACGGGUAGAUCUCCCACCCUUUGUAUACCUUACCUUUGUUGCUUUGGCGGGCCGCCUAGCUACUGGCCUCGGCCGGUAAGUGUCCGCCAGAGACCUCAAACCCAAACCAUUAUACGUAAUUGUCUGAAAACAAGUUUAAAUUAUUAAAACUUUCAACAACGGAUCUCUUGGCUCUG
rnacentral:misc_RNA from 1 species